UUAAGGUGCCAAACUACGCGC
rnacentral:misc_RNA from 1 species